UACGGAGGGUGCGAGCGUUGUCCGGAAUCAUUGGGCGGAAAGCGCGUGUAGGCGGCCCGGUAAGUCCGCUGUGAAAGUCGGGGGCUCAACCCUCGGAUGCCGGUGGAUACUGUCGGGCUCGAGUACGGAAGAGGCGAGUGGAAUUCCUGGUGUAGCGGUGAAAUGCGCAGAUAUCUGGAGGAACACCGGUGGCGAAGGCGGCAUCCUGGACCGGCAUUGACGCUGAGGCGCGAAAGCCAGGGGAGCAAACGGG
rnacentral:rRNA from 1 species